rnacentral:lncRNA from 1 species
AAUCAGAGGCAGUCCCCUGUUCCCAAGCCACUUGGAACCGAGAGGUCGGGGGCCAGGAGGAAUCAGUCGCCAACCUCCCCCCACCCCGCCCUCAUCACACACAUCAGUCUGACCCAGGACCCUCCCUGGUUCCACCACGACCCCUACUCUUGCCCACGCCUCCUGAAACUUGGAGGGGUCAGAGUUAAAUUCUGCUCUACAUGCGUUCCUGACCCAAGCCUCUCCCACGUGCCGGGGACUGGCACACGGAGACAAAAAGCUGCAAGCCCAGCGGGCGGGGAGGCCAGAUCACAGAGCAGGCGGCCAAGGGGUAAGGAGGCACGGAGGACGCGAGGCUGGGAGGGGCGGGCCUUCAAAACCCGCCUCACUGAGGAGAAGCUGCUCCAGGAAAGGGUGGUUCUUCAAGAGCUUCCAGAAACGUCUGUUUCCGGAGGCGGGGCCCACAGCUGCCAGGCGGGUCCCUCUCUCCACGGCGCAGAGGUGGGCACCCUCGGGUUCCACCCCCACCCCCACCUUUCCCUCCGCGCGCCUCAAACCCAAGCCGGCGUCGCGCCUCGGCAGAGGGAAGGCGGGAGCCAGCCGGACCCUUCAGAGCGUGGCCUUGGUGGUAGACUUCCCGCCUCCAACACCGUAAGCGACAAAGCGUCGGGGGCGUGUGGCGUGUCCGACCUGACGUCAGGUGCCCAGCUUUAUGUCAGGUGCUCUUUCCCCCGUGUGCCCUGGGUUUACGUCACGUGUCCGGCUCCACGUCACGUGUCCUGCUCCACGUCACGUGCCCUGGCUUUCUAUCAGGCGCAGUCUUUCCGUCGCGUUCCCUGGCUUCACAUCACGUGCCCGGCUCCACGUCACGUGCCCGGCUCCACGUCACGUGUCCGGCUCCACGUCACGUGCCCUGGCUUUCUCGGGUGCCAAGGCUUUCCGUCAGGUGCCCUGCCUUUCCGUCACGUUCCCAGCUUUAUGUCACGUGCCCUGGCUUUCCGUCACGUGCCUUGCUUUUACAUCAGUGUCUGGCUUUGCGUUAGUUGCUGA